rnacentral:rRNA from 1 species
CCUACGGGGGGCAGCAGUGGGGAAUAUUGCACAAUGGGGGAAACCCUGAUGCAGCGACGCCGCGUGAGUGAAGAAGUAUUUCGGUACGUAAAGCUCUAUCAGCAGGGAAGAAAAUGACGGUACCUGACUAAGAAUCCCCGGCUAACUACGUGCCAGCAGCCGCGGUAAUACGUAGGGUGCAAGCGUUAUCCGGAUUUACUGGGUGUAAAGGGAGCGUAGACGGCAGCGCAAGUCUGGGGUGAAAUCCCAUGGCUUAACCAUGGAACUGCUUUGGAAACUGUGCAGCUAGAGUGCAGGAGAGGUAAGCGGAAUUCCGAGGGUAGCGGUGAAAUGCGUAGAUAUUAGGAGGAACAGCAGGGGCGAAGGCGGCUUACUGGACUGUAACUGACGUUGAGGCUCGAAAGCGUGGGGAGCAAACAGGAUUAGAUACCCCAGUAGUC